rnacentral:tRNA from 1 species
AAAAUCCGUCGACUUUAUAAAUCGUGAGGGUUCCAGUCACCACAAUC